CUAAACUGUAUGCCUUAAAAUCAGCCUAUGAAAAAUGCUUUGCUGCUGAAUCCAGGAUCUCCGCAGCAAGCCCACGGCACGGGCAGCCUGGCAGCUUAGUUUGCUGCUCAGCAGGACCCACAAACACAAUGUCUGGCAGAGCUCCCGCCUUCACCUUGUCUGUAAAUAUUUGUAGCCUUUCCUUGCUGUCAGCAGCCUGGUAUUUGCACACGGAGAAGGUAACAGAUGUCAUAGGAAUUAUUUUUCCAUGCAACCCAUUCAGAGGAGCUGCGUAGGAAGGUUUCUUGGUGGGGCUGCAGGGUAGCUAAGUGGAAGAGGCAGCGUUGUUUCCUGGUGGAUAAUGCUGCCAAGGGGCAUGUUCUCAGGCACGUUCACCUUGGGAUUUGUGGAGCACUGAGCUUUGCUAGCAACUGCCCAUGAAUGGUGUCUGCACACCGUGCGUUCCCGCUUCCUCAGGAAGAGCGACCAGGACAUUUUGCACAUCCUGAGAUCCAGUGCUUCAGAGCAUUAAAGCGUUCUCUCAGUGAGAAGUGCUCAGCACAGGUCCUCAUCUUUGCACAGACCGAGCCCAGCAGAAGUCCAAAGACACUUCCAUGUAGAUACAUGGAGAAUCAAAGCUGAAAAAUUGUAAGUUGAAGCUGCUAGAGCAGGUUGCCUAGCAAACCAGAGGCGGUACCAAUCAGCUCUUCUGGCAAGCAGCUGUAGUGACAUCCCUCAGGAGGGAAAGGGUUGGAGCCCUUUGGUCUUGGCUUCCACAGAAGUUAAGCUCUGGCCUGCACUUGAUCUGAGCCACUGCAGAGAUGGGAAGCUCACAGAGACCUUACUGAUGCCUUUCUGAGUUGAUGCAAAGCUGUCCUUGACUAGAUAAUGCUAAAUGAGGCCAGUGAGCUGGGCCAUUAAGGGUACAGCUUUUAUCUAACUUCAGAAGUAGUUGUUUUGCUUUGGCCAGAGUAUUAGGCUAGCUCUGUGCCUUGACCAGCAUAUCUCUAGGCCUUGGACAAAACCCAGGUCCAUCUGAGACAGGUUGGGAAGUGGAUUGUCCAGCAAAUCUGGGCAUUUCUAGCUCUGGGAACCUGCAGAAAGCGAGGCACCUCUGUAAUACUGAUGGCCAUCAAGAAUGCAUGUGCUGACCCUCCCGGUCAGGGUUCUAUAUUCGCCUUGUGAAUGGACAAUUCAGAAGGAAGAUCAGUGCCUUAACACUGACAAAUGCCAGAAGAUCAGACUGUGCCUAAAAAAAGGAAGAGAAUCCAAAAAUGCUGAUCAUGGUGU
rnacentral:lncRNA from 1 species